AUACCCUACGGAGCGCCUGGGUCCGCCGCAUCUCCUGGGUCCGUGGGGCAAGGCCGGCGCGGUGUCUGCCCGAUGAGUGGCCUCCUCGGAUUGGCAGUCCCGCGCCGGCCGCCAC
rnacentral:sRNA from 1 species